CAUACUUUUCCUUGCCAUGAACACUAAACAAUUGAUAUUUCACUUUAUCGUAUUUUUUUUUACAAAAUAUGUCUUGGUUUAUAUAUUUGUCAUUCAUGCUUGUAAUUAUUAGUUUUGAACUAAACAUGUAUAUAUUUGUGUUCUUUCUUCCUUUGUUACUUUUUUCGUUAAAGCUCAUGCUUUAUUUGUGGUUUGCGCUUAAAGCCCCAAUAGACCUUGGAGCUCCUUUGCAGUUUUUGCUUUUGAUAACACUUAGUGGGAGAAAUGAAUGUGUUUCUUUUACUAAAGGGUAUUUAACAGCCUCUUGCAGAAAUGCAAGGUAAGGCUGUGUACAAUAGAUCCUUGUGUUACAAACUAUUCGAGGAAUCGGCAUCUUUAGUUAUUAGUUGGAGAUGCAUAAUGUAUUAUACCUUGAUUUAGCUAUUAUCAAAGCUUAUAUGUAUACUUAUCGAUAGCUAAUUGACCGAUGAAUUUUUAUGUCCUGGCGUGUACUCAGUUUGACAACUUGUAUGGAUGUCGCCACUCACUGCCCGAUGGUCUCAUGAGGGCUACUGACGUUAUGAUUGCCGGGAAGGUUGCCCUUGUUGCCGGUUAUGGAGAUGUUGGCAAGGGUUGUGCUGCUGCGUUGAAACAAGCAGGUGCGCGUGUGAUUGUGACUGAGAUUGACCCUAUCUGUGCUCUCCAGGCUACCAUGGAAGGCCUCCAAGUUCUUACUCUCGAGGAUGUUGUUUCUGAAGUUGAUAUCUUUGUCACCACAACUGGUAACAAGGACAUCAUCAUGGUUGACCACAUGAGGAAGAUGAAGAACAAUGCCAUUGUCUGCAACAUCGGUCACUUUGACAAUGAGAUCGAUAUGCAUGGUCUCGAGACCUUCCCUGGUGUGAAGAGAAUCACAAUCAAGCCUCAAACAGACAGAUUUGUCUUCCCUGACACCAACAGUGGUGUCAUCAUCUUAGCCGAGGGCCGUCUCAUGAACUUAGGAUGUGCUACUGGACAUCCUAGUUUCGUCAUGUCAUGUUCGUUCACUAACCAAGUCAUUGCGCAGCUUGAGUUGUGGAAGGAGAAGGCAAGCGGUAAGUAUGAGAAGAAGGUAUACGUCUUGCCAAAACACCUCGAUGAGAAGGUUGCUGCCCUUCAUCUCGGAAAGCUCGGAGCCAAGCUCACUAAGCUUUCCAAGGACCAAGCUGAUUACAUUAGUGUACCAGUUGAGGGUCCUUACAAGCCUGCUCACUACAGGUACUGAAGAAAGACAAACAAACACAAUGUUUUGGCAUGAUGUUUUCACUUUUACUACUUUGAUUCUGUCUUGUUGGGAAUAUUUUGGUGGAAAUGAAAUGGUCUCAUUUGAAGGAAGACCAAAAUGUGAUGUUAUAGUUAUUGGAUUUAUUUGGUUUUGGUUAAUUGAAGUGAAAUUUUUGUCAUCUAGUUUUUAUCCAUUCAAAUUUUAGUAUGUCUCUAGGUAUUAUACCUCCUUGUGUUAUAGUGUUUGUACUUUCUUGUGUUAAAGUUGGAGCAACCCACAAAGUUGUUUAACAAAAAGUUAAAAAAAAUCCCCAUAAAGUUGUCCUCUGAGCAGUAGGUCACGGAUUCAAAUCGUGAAAACAAUCCCUUGCAAAAAUGUAAGAUAGAGACUAUUACAAUAGAUCUUGUGGUCCGACCCUUCUCUGGACCCUACGUAUAGCAGGAGCUUUAGUGCACCGAGCUGACCUUAGUUUUGAGUUUGGCAAAAAGAUGACUCAAUCUUGUUUCUCCAGGAAAAUAAAGUCAAAAAUUGUUCAUCUACAUUUAGUCAUAUCUCUAGGUUGGAUAAUAGAAUUCAAAUCUUGUUUCUUUGGAAAAAAAAAAAGAAAAUUAUAAAGAAGAAUAAAAUGGUGAUAAGGUGAUACUUCGUUCGUUUUAAUUUGUUUGUUUAGUUUUGGUUUGACACGAAUUUUUUGUAAUUUUAAAUUAAAGAUAAAUAGAAUGCAUUAAAAUAUCGUUUAAUCUUAUAGUCUUAAAUAUGUCAUAAAAACACUUUUCUUGAACCAGAUUAAAAAGAAAAGUAAAAUACACUAACUAAAAUGUUAAUAACAAAAGACAUUGGAACAAGGGGUCAAUUAUUUCUCUCCACUUUCUUGCCCUUUCAAUUAUUAUGCUAAAAAUAAAGAAAAAAACUCAUUUUAUUUCUUCCUACCUUAUCAUAUAUUAUAAGUCCCUUAACAAAAAAUCUAGCUUUUAUGGGUGAUAGAAAUGUUUAACAUUAAUUAGGACUGCUAGGCUUUUUCUACUUUCAACCAAACCAAAUAGAGCUAGGUCAGUAUAUAGAUAUUAAUAAUUCCCUUACUGCUGGUAUGUAUUUAUUCUGCUAAUUAAUGAAUAUGAAUAUAGUAUUAUCAACCAAUGACACUUCCACUGAAUGGGCCCUACGCAAUAUAGUCGGACUUCAAUGCGGAUACCGAAUACCAAGGGGAAACCAACUAGCAUUAUUAGUAGUUGCAUUAAAUAAAUAGGACAGUUUACGCAGCGUGUUCAACGACUUAAAAGUAUACGAACUAGCUUGAACACAACUCGACUAUUCCAUAGUAGCAGCAUUUUUUUCUGAUGAGGAUGGUGUCCGAAUUAGCUUGAACACAACUCGACUAUCUCGCUAACUGCUACCUUCCACCAGCAUAGGUAAGUUGUAAUGAUAACUCUACCUACCACGGCUUAGGUGUGCAAGGAAAUUACCUAGUACGUUUUGCCUCGACUGAGAUUUGAGAUGCAUUGACUAGUAGGAAUAAGGUCUGCAUACAUCUUAUCCUCCCCAUAAACCACAACACGUCGCUCGUGGGACUAUAGUGAAUAUGUUAUUGUUGUUGUUAACUAGUUACACAACUGUGGCUUAUAUAACCUAUACAACCUACUUGUGGUCCAGUGAAUAAAGAACCAUUAUUUUGUGAGAUAUGUCAGAAAAGAAAGAUACUCUACUUCUGGUGGUUUAUGCUUCAAAUUCUUGUCUCUAUUUGAACUUGAACUCCAAGCCCAACCCACCCCUCUACGACAUGGCACCUCCGGGCCAGUGUGCCAUGCCUCCCUUGGGGGCUAGCAACUGAGUCGGGCCAAGCCCAACCCGCCUCUCUACGACAUGGCACCUCCGUGCCAGUGUGCCAUGCCUCCCUCGGGAAUACUGCAUUGUUAUAUGAGUUCGACCUUUUCCACAUGUUUCAUACAUCAAACAAGCAAAUCUUUACAAGAUUUCACACAAAUCAAGAUGAUUCGUUCCAGCGAGCAGAUGAAGGAGAGUUCUAGUAACGUUUCCUUACAUAGCCGAGAAGACAAGAUGAGUUAAAGCAAUCAAGAAACCACACUUUCUAAAACACCCAUCUGUUUUAUGUAUGAUAACCACAACUGCCAAGUCUACAUUCCUUUUGUAUCGUCAACGCUGACAUACCAAACAGAAACAAGUAGAUAAUUCUGCAAACAAUGGAGGAUACGCGCUUCUAAUGGUUGAGGAUAAAGCAAAUGAAUGGUUAUUGUGGAAACUAUUCAAAGCUCGACUAAUUCGUUUAGGGUGAUCAAUAAUGGUGGUUCUAUUAUGAUUGUGAUUGUUAUUUUUCAAGUGGUGCAAAUCUUUGUACUGUUUCUUAGAUCAAUUGUACCAAUAACGCUUCUACAAAAUCCUGCAAACGCCACCAUCCUCCUCAGACCAAAAAGAUUAAAAUGAAGGAAGAGAAACGAAAUGUGGAACAACCAUCUCAUUGAAAGCUUAUUUGUUGCCAUUAUUGGCCUGAUCUUUCCUAUAAGCACCAUGUUUCCGUCUUAUCUAGGCUUUUCUUCCUUAGUUUUCUCUCAUCCAAGUCCUCAAGAAAGUUUUAUCCGGCAUCCACUUCACAUCAUUUCCACGAAAUAAUCCAUAGACAGACACCCCAACGAUAGAGAUACCAAGUAGCGUUACAUUCUUGACUGCUAGCUAUCCCAGAAUUCUAUCCCUUUGCCUUUCAAAUGCAUCUUAAGUGCGUUCGAAACAAUCAGUAGCCCAAAAUUCCGCUCAUCAGACACAUAGGGACAUAGCAUUCUCCUAGAAACACUUUCAAACCUCUCUGUACAUUAUCCUAAAGACAUUCAAAUGAUGAGAAAGUUUGUAAUAGAAGCUUCUCAAAAUGAUCAUUGGUCUCUUACAGGAACAGCUAAAACGACAUAAGACUCUGCUCCCCACAAAUUUGCGCCUAAUGAUUCUUAGAACAAAGGAUGAACAGAAUAACGUUAACACACAACAGAAAUCAUCGCGUCGUUAGUAAAUGCAAAUAAGACUUGAGGAUCAAAUGAAAUUAGUCAAACUACAAAGAAUCUAAAACUCUAAAAGAUCAGAUUUUGAUACUGCUUGAGAUUACUCGGUUGUUAUGGUUAAUUCCUAGUAAGUUUGACACCCUAAAAGCCUUAUGCACCUUUUAGUAUCAUCCUCUAUAACAAUGAUUCACUAUAACGGCCAAGUACUUUUCAAGAACUAGUUUUUCAUGUUACGCUAUGUUAUGAUAUAUUAUAUGUUCUCCAUAACAACAUUUCGCUAUAGCAUCCUAAAAAUAUCUAAUCAAACGACGCUAUUAUAGAGAGGUUUGACUAUAUUUUCAACAACAAUAGAAACAGAUUGGUAGCAUAUCUAGUGUUUUCCCACAAAGUAGUGUCUGGGGAGGGUAGAGUGUAGGGAGACCUUACCUCUACCUCAGAGAUAGAGAGGCGGUUUCCAAUAGACCCUCGGCUCAAGAAAAACAGUCCAAAGCAGUACACAAAAAGAAAUACUGGAAGUACGGGAAACAACAAAUAGUAACAAAACAGUACUACAACAAAACAAUACGAUAGUCCAAUUGGGAGCAUAUACAUAUAGAACCAAAAAAUAAUUUGGCAUCAGCAGAAUUUAUACUAUUUGAUAUGGAACAAUUGGUUACGGUAACUUCAUAGUAUACAACAUGACCAAAAACUUCAAGAUUUGUGGCUAAAUAGAACUUUACCAAAUCAAGAUUUGAUGUCACUGACCUGCGUAGCGCAUCUAGUAAUAAUCUCACAACCUCUAUUAUAAGUAUUAGCUGCACCAGGAGCUUUACAAUUAUAAUAUGAAGCACCAGGUGUAUUAAAAGGCACCAAAUCCCUCUUCAAUGUACCAUAACUAAUGUACUUUUUCUGCAUUAGCAAAACUCUUCUGUUACUUUCACUAUCCAUCAAAUCAUCUUCAUCCACCUUUUCAACACAACCCCUUUUGCCCGUUAGGCUGUACGUAGACCUUACCAUACCUUUAGGCUGUACGUAGACCUUACCAUACCUCAUACAACAGAGGUAGAGAAGCUGUUUCCGAUAAACCCUCGACUCAAAACAAUAGCAGUCUAGAAAAAGAAGGAAAGGAAGUACAAGAAACAAAAAAUAAUAACAAAAACAACAGAUAGUUGCAGAAUAGUACAGCAACAAACCCAGUGUAUUCCCACGUACGCAGUCCAUACCACUACCUCCGAAGAAGUAGAGAGGUUGUUUCCGAUAGACCCAUGGCUCAGGACAAAAAAGACAUUAAAUAAAGUCUGAAUACAACAUGAAGCAGUUGCAGAAUUGUAGUACUACAAUACAAUAAUACUAUAAUUGAACUACACGAAACAACAGAUAGUACUAAAAAAAAAUGUACAAGAAACUACAAGGGGGAACAUAUACAUAGAACAAAAUAAAUAAUUUGGCAUCAACAGAAUUUAUACUACUUGAUAUGGAACAAUUGGUUACAUUGACUUCAUAGUACACAACAUUAGCAAAAACUCCAAGAUUUCUGGACUAAAUUAAUAAUCAAGAAAGCACAAAUAUCACUUUAACAAUCAAGAUUUGAUGUCACUGACCUGCCUAGCACACCUGGUAAUAAUCUCACAACCUCUAUUAUAAGUAUUAGCUUCACCAGGAGCUCUACAAUUAUAAUAUGAAGCACCAGGUGUAUUACAAGGCACUAAAUCCCUCUUCAAUGUCUCAUAACUAAUGUACUUUUUCUGCAUUAGCAAAACUCUUCUGUUACUUUCACUAUCCAUCAUAUCUUCUUGAUCCACCUUUUCAACACAACCCCUUUUCCCCAUUACAUCAAAGUUACAAUCUUUAACUGAAUUAAGGUCAAAAACUGAAACCCCAUUACAAAAUAUCAUGAUAAAAAUCAAGAAAAAGAGGAUUUUUUGCAUUUUGUGAGCUGGAGGUGUUGUCAUUUUUGUAUUUUGUUUUUUGGAUUUUGGGCUGCGAAAGUGAGAUUCCAGGGUGUCUGAAAAUUGCAAAUUUUUGGGUAAGGAGAGUAGUAACUAGUGAGGAGUCAUUAAUGGUUGUAGGGAUCAGCCUGUUACCUACACCUACUUUGGUACUCAACGAUCAUGGGAGGUUUGGGUGGGGUGGCCGGGGGGGGGGUGAGUAGUGAGUGUGACCCAUCACCAUUCUUGAUUUUUUUCCCUCUCCGAGUUUCAUAUUUGAACUAUUAGGUAUAUUAGUUUUCUAAUUGAAUUAUCAUCGAUGACUUAUCAAUAAACCUCAACGGCUAUCGCUAUGCGUGAUAUUCGGGGAAGAGCCCACCACAAUGGUGUAUCGUACUCAGUCCUAUCUUGCAUUUCUGCCAGAGGCUGUUUCCAAGGUUUGAACUGGAGGUCACGGAUUCAAGCCUUGAAAACAGACAGAAAUACAAGGUAGGGCUGUGUAUGAUACACCAUUGUAGUGGGCUCUUCCCCGGACACUACAUAUAGCAAUAACUUUAGUUCACCGGACAGUCCUCUUUUUAACUUUCAUGUAGAGAAAGUGAACAAUUAAUAGUUGAUGUGUGUUUUGAUUAAUAAUUAAUAAUAGUUCGUAUAGAAAACUCACACAACUGAUAGUUCAGGUACGAAAUUCAAACACCUGCUAAUUUUCACUUGGUGUCUUAUAUCAGAAAAGUCCUACAUUCACAUUGAAACAACACUUGAACUAUUAUUAUUUCACAAAUUUCAUACCUAAUGUCAGUUGUUCUCUUUUCCUAACUGAAUAAUUAUAUCCAGUUUCACUAUCUUACUUAAAUUACAUAUGUAAUGGUUUAAGCAGGAAAAUGAAAUAACUGAUAGUUAAUUUAAUCGAAUCAGGUUUAAUACAUAUUUCCUUCGUCUCAUAUUACUUGACAUAUUUGUCAAAAAAAAUUAUUCCAAAAUAGUUAACCUGUUUAAAGAUUUAAGAGAUAAUUAAAUACUUUUCUCCAAAUUUAUCCUUAGUAAUUUAAUGAAAGUAAUUAGCUUAAAUAAAUAGAGACAAUAUUUAAAGUGAGUUUAAUCGGAUUGUAUUAAUCAAUUUAUUCUCCUUAUUAAUUUCUCCUAAAAGAGUUGGAUAAAAGACAAACCUUUAAUCAUUAACUCUUAAGAAUAAAGUAUUUAUCAUUCUCAAAACCUUUAUUAAUAUUCUUGAAUUUUAUUAGAGUUUGGUCUAAAUCAAGAAACAUCAAUUUUGCCACAAGCUUUUGCUUUAAGACAAACAACUUUGACUUUGUGCACAAAUAAAGUUUGAUCUAGGCUGGUCUCAAAAUCUGUGGUUAUGUCUUGGACUUGGGCUGGUUCCCAAUUCAAUAUGAAUAGUAUAUAUUACUAGAAAAGGACCAAAAAAUUAUUUAUGUUUGAGUUUAGUCUAAAUUCUAUAAGUCUAAAUCCAAUCUAGUCCUACGAAUGUACAAUUAAGUUGUUUUGGUUCUUUGUAUUAUCAAAAUCAAACACUUUUGGUCAUUGUUAUAUUUAAAACACAUGGUAGUAGUACUUAUCUUUAAUGAAAUUGGCUCGUCAGAAGCACGUGGCAUAUUUACAUCGAAGAAAAUUACUAAAACAUACGUCUCCUGAUUCAUUCCUUAAUUUACACGUAAAGAAAGUACAUUAUUCAAACUAACUGAACAUAUUGUAUGCUUCAGUUUAUCCUCUGUUAUAAAUAACGAAUGAAUCAAUGUUAUACUUUCUUGGUUUGAACAAGUCACAUGCUUCUCAUGAGCUAAUUGUGUGACAUAUCCACUAUUGUGAAUUCUUAAAUAUAAAUGGAGAAUAAAAGUAGUCAAUUUCGAUAAAAUUAAACGACUAAAUUAGUACCAAUAAUAUAUUUUGAUGGACUAGUUUAGAUCAAUCCCCAAAGGGACUAAGUUUUGUCUCUCUCUAUCUAUAUCAAUUCAUUUGCAUGUCCUGACUUGUCUCUAUGCUAGGGCCCUCCCAUUGCUAUAACCAUAAGCCAUGACAGCUUUCGCUCGCAAUCACAAGAACCCGCCCCACGAGGCCAAAAUGGACUCAGCGAUCAGCUUCCAUUCAAAUUAUGCUAGCGAUUUUUUCGCUUUUAUCAGAUCUAGAAAGAUACUACAAGUUCUAAGUGUGUGUAACUAUUGGUACACAAUCAAGUCAUCAUUGGAAAAACCAAUACGUGGUUGGGGGCGUGCUAUUUACAUAUGAUUAAUUUUCAUGUGCCAAAAUUAGAAAAAAUCCAAUCACUAAUUAUUAUUCUCUUUCAUUUUUAUCAAUAUGUCAAUAGAAUAUAGUACUUAUAAUAUUUUUUAGAUUUGUCUUGUGUCUCUGAAAUAAAUGGUUCAUUUAUUAAUGGAAAAAUGCCAGAGAUUGAACCCCGUGUGGUGGAUUCAAUAAUAUCCACUCAGUGUCGAGUAUCCAUCUUUAAGCUCGACAAAUUUCAUGUUCGCAUAAUGUAAGAUCCAUUUCAGGGGUUGGUAUUUUCAAUGGAAUUUUUUUCAUUUUUAAGGGAAACAAAUUCGAUUAAGACCUCUGAUUAAGCAUAGAGAAAUGUCAAUUAUUCCAUCGCAACUAAUAUUAGUAUCGAUAAAUGUAUUUACAAUAGUUUUAGCACUACUGCUCGACAAAAUCCAUGUUCGUGCAUCGUAAGAUUUAUUCUUGAGGUUGAUGUUUUCAAUAGAAUUUUUUUUCAUUUUUAGGAGAAAAAAUUCGAUUAAGACCUCUAAUUAAAAAUGGAGAAAUAUCAACCAUCCCAGCACAACUAAUAUUGGUAUCGAUAAAUGUAUAUAUUUACAAUAGUUUUAGCACUAGUGCUCUAUUUAAAACAUAUAAUUUUGUUUCAUUUAAAAAAAAGAUUAGUGGGCCAAAAACUUGAAUCUGAAGCAAAUUGGGAUUACUCUCUUUUAGAUUUGGUGGUUGCAAUGAAAAUUGAGUAACAAAAAAGGAAAACAGUACAAAACACUAAACCACCCUUGAUUAAUUUGUUUGUUCGUGAGUUAAGGGUCUUUUGGAGUACUAUCUUUACUUUCAUAAGAGAAUGAUAAAAUCCACCUACACUUUAUUCUUUUCCGACUCCGCUUAAACCGAACAUGUUACGAUUGUUGGUUGCAAUGAAGACAUAAGUAUGUGUUUUUAGCCAUCUUCUUUAAUGGAAUAAAAUUCUCUUUUUGAGUUUUGCUUAGGGAGUAGCUAUUGACCUAUAUGAAUGAGAUUCAUAUUGUACAAAGAAUAUAACUUUAGUUGUAAAAAGAGUGUGUAUUAAAUCAUAAUGUUGGUAGGUAGUGAGUUAGCUUGAACUUUUAAUUAAAACCUUAAUUAGCACACCAAACAAAUAAGGAAAAAUGUAUAUACAACAUUCAUAUUUGCAUGUUACUGAUAAAAGUUGUUGUCAUGUUAUCAGGAGAUCAUGAGUUCAAGUCGUGAAACUAGCCUCUUGUACAAACACAUAAUAUGUCUGCAUACAAUAGAUUCUUGUGAUCUAACCAUUUUUCGGACCGUACAAAUAACGAAAACUUUAGUGAAUCGUGCACCGGAUUGCCCUCUGCCCUAUGUUCAUAUUUGCAUGUGGUAGGCAAACCUUUGCUUACUCUUAUGGAGUGAGUUUAUAAUAUGGUGUAACACAAAAUAUUAUCAUGAAGAAAACUUUCCUUUAGAAUUUUUAAUAUACUAGUUUAGGUAUACGCGUCUCGCGUGUGUACCUUGCUUUAUUGAAUUCAAACGUUACACUAAAUAGGAUAUUUAUUUAAAUAAUAAAGAUGAAUACAAUAAUUAAAUUCAAUAUCUUUUGGAGAAUUUAUUUAAUUAAACCUAACUUUUAUCGAAAAAAUUCUCAAAGCCGAUCGACAUUCAUCUACCACCUGUAAACUGCAACAAAAUAAUACGAUGAUAGAGGCAUCAAAAUAAUAUAAUUAAAUCUAACCUUUAUAUAAAAAUUUCCUCAAAGUCGUCUGACACUCAUCUACCACCUGUAAACUAUAACAAAAUAAUACGACAAUAGAGAUAUCAAAAUAAUAAAACUAAACUUUACCUUUACACAAAAAAUAUUUUCAAAACAGAGAUAUAAGAACAAUACAAUUAAACCUAACUUUUCCUAAAAAAAAAUUUUCAAAGCCGAUCAAAAUUCAUCUGCCACUUGUAAAUUCAUCUACGAUCUAUAAACUACAACAAAAUAAUACAAUAGUAAUCACAAAACUUCAGUUUUGAUGAAAAUAAUUCUUGUCUGAGUGAAAAUUUUGAUACUAAAGAAUGACUUGAAUAAAAACAAAGAAGAUAUAUAUAUACACUCAUAUGUUGAAUUCUAUUAUGCUGACAAAACUAGUGAAGAAAUUGAGGGUUAGAAAAUUAAGCAUCCACCAAUUUAAACAUGCAACUGAAUCAAGUUAGAUGAGCAUCAAUUACAUUUUUUCAAUAAGUAAAUCAGUUUUUUCUCUAGUUUAAUAUGCAUUUCAAUAUUUAUAGAAGUAUUUUCUUAAUGGAAUCCUAUUGUAACACCCCGUAUUCAAGUACAUGUAUUGGCGUAUUCAAGUACGUGUAUUGGUCUUAUUUAUAUGGAAUUAAUUUUUUAUUUUAUUUAUACCGGAAUUUGCCCGUCGAUGGUUCCAUACGAAGGUUAUUGAAUAAUCUUUCCAACGAUAUAAAGAUUUCCAAAAACGGAUAAGUUUUGGAUAUAAUCGAGCACGUUCGAAACUAUAAAACGGUGGCCGGGAUAUGGUGAAUAGUAAAUGUGCAGGAAAAUUUCCUGCACACAAACUACUGAGGCCUGCCAGUUUUUUGGGUCAAUUUUGAACGCUCAUAACUCCCUUAAUAUAAUGAACUGGGAGAGAUACGACCUAUCAAAAGAAAUAUCUUUGAGUCUUCUUUCCAAUGCAAUUGGUUUCAUCCAAAUCCAACAUCGGAGUAAGGAGUUAUACUCGUUUUACUUCAGCCUCUCAAAACAGAUUUUUAGGGUCAACUUCAAAUGAUCAUUACUCCUUGUACAGGACGAACUGGGUGGCCUAUUUUAUAUGAAAUGAAAGACCUUUGAAUUAUCUUUCCAACGAUACCAAUUUCACCCAAAUCCGAUAUCGAAGCAAAGAGUUAUGGUCGAUCUACUUUAACUUGUCAAAACAGUCCACCAUGGACAGAUUCGGAUUUACUUAAAAUUUUAAGGGCAAUAUGGUCAUUUUCCAUCACCUCAUGAACGAAAAUUGGUCAUUAUAUACAUAUAAUUAGUCUCAUAUCCAUCAAUUAUCAUCAAAUUAUUGAAAAUAAGAAACCCUAGCCUAAUUUCAACUCCAAAUAUCUUGUGAUUCAACCGUAGAAAAUCCAAAUUGAUUCCGUAGUUGUGUUCACCAUCUCAAGGGCUUCGAGAAGCACCCCUUAUUUGUGCCAACAGGACUUCGAAAUCAAAAGGGCCAUUUUAUGGUAAGGAUGUAAAUUAUGUUGGUGUUAUUUAUAUGGAUAUGUAUAUAUAUAUAUAUGCAUGUGAGCAUAAAAAGUAUGUUAUUUGAUUGUUGUUGAAAGAUGAUUGGAAAUGAUGUUGGAUUAUUCUUGUGCAUAGUUGGAUUAUGUUGAAUUGUGAAGUGAUUUGGUGUUAUGAUGUGGUAUUGAAAUGAUGAUUAUAUAUAUAUACACAUAAACCUAUUGUUCAAGUUGAUUUUUGGAAUGUUUUGCAAAUAUUGGUAGUAUGGAAUUAUGGAAGAGAAUUGUGGUGUUGGGUUGCUAAUACUAGAUGCCAAACAUUUCAUUGUAGAUAAGUGAUUUGUAAAGGCGGGAAGUUGUGUUGAAUUGGUAUCCGAAUCUACAACGAGGUAUGUAAAGCAUACUCUAACAAUGUUCUUUGGCAUGAAAACACCAAUGUUCCAUCAAGUAAGAUUCCGAGGUUGUCCAAAAACAUGUAUUGUUCUACGUUACCAACGAAGUUGUUUCCAUCCUAUAAAGUGUCAAAAUGUUUCAUUGAUAUACCAAAAGGCUCCUAUUUCAUUGUUGUGAUAUUGAUGAUUCUGAAACACAUUGUUGAUGUACCAAUGAGUCUUUAUUACAUCGUUAUUGUAUAGAAGGUCUAUUACUUGGUUCCUAUUGAUGUAUCAUUGUUUCAAAGUAUCAAAAAUGUGGUGGCGACCGAAAUAACAAUCUCAAAGAUUAAUUGAACUAAGUGAUGGAAGUUCUCUCUUAUCGGGUGGUAUCCCAGGGGCAUAAGCCUAGCAUGGGUCGAUCCCUAUUUAUGUGUUUAUGGGUGGUAUCCCAGGGGCAUAAGCCUAGCAUGGGUCGAUCCCAGUUGAUAUGUACUGGAGGCAGCCUAAUGGUCACAGUACAGUACAGUAAUGAUUACAAAGACGAUAAGAACGAAGGUAAAGUGAUUGAAUAAAUACAAUGUACAGGUUGUCACAAGUUCUAGUAAGUGUGGUCCACUCCUAUUACGACUUAUUCACUUGUUUCUGAUUUCUAUUGAGCUCCUAUAUCAUAUGUGAUUAUUUACAGCUUUACAUACUCAGUACAUAUUUCGUACUGACGUCCCUCACGGGGGACCUGCAUUUCAUGCUGCAGGCACAGGUACCUCAGCUCAUACACCGCACAAGUAGGAGCCAGGUCAUACAGCUAUUGUUGGUGAGCUCCAGUUUGCUUCGGAGCUUUCCGAGUCGGUUCCUUAUGUUUUGUUAUUGUACAUGAGUCACGUGUGGGCGGGGGUUUGUCCCGACCCUAGUUAUGUCAUGUAUAUCCUAGAGGCUUUGUAGACAUAAGGAAGGGUAAAGUCAUGGAAGUUUAUAUAGUAACGUUAUAUUUGUAUAUGUGGUGGCCCCGACGGCCAAGUAUUAUAUAUAUAUAUUUGUGCGUGUUGUGCUGAUACAGGUAAUUAGACCUUUCUAUAUGCAACGAAGUGCUGUCCAAUUUUUUUGGUGACAUGUAAGUGAAAGUACAGGUAUUUGAACGGGUUCUCCCGGGCCUUCUCGGCUUCGGGUGCCAGUCCGGCCCGAUGGGAUUUUGGGGCGUGACACCAACAAAGCAGGAGUUUGGGAUAAUUUCUUUUAUUACUCUAGGUCUUAUUGAUAUAACAACAUACCCAAUGGUGGAGUUAAUAAAUAAAGAAUUGGCUGGAGUAACUGCCAUAAGAAGAGCAGUUAGGCAAGGUCAGCCUAAUGUUGAAGCUCUUUAUGACCAACCUACUAUAAUAGAUACGGGUGCUUUUUCUGAGGGUAUUGCUGGUGGAGUUAUUGAUGAUGGUGGUAGCCAUCCUACUGUUGCUGCUGCCAAUCAUGAUUAUGAGCAUGUUUGGUGCUUAGGAAAAAAUAAAUACGUUUGAAAACACCCCUUGCAAAGGUCCCUCUUACCCUUAUUGAAAAACUAGAGGUUAUUGCUAAAGUUGUCGAGGAGUUGAAAUCCAAAAAGGGUGUCAUACCGUCCAAGAAGGUGAGGGAGCCAUACACUCUUAAAUGUCCAAAUUUUUGGUGACAUAUAAGUGAAAGUACAGGUAUUUGAACGGGUUCUCCCGGGCCUUCUCGGCUUCGGGUGCCAGUCCGGCCCGAUGGGAUUUUGGGGCGUGACACCUAUUUUAGGAAUAUUUUUCUAUUCUAUUUUAUAAGUAUUUUUCUAAUUGAUUAGUACAAAGAAAAAUAUUAAUUGAUUUUCCUUCCAUAUAUUUUAGGAGUCUAGCUAAUAUAAUAAAAAUAAUUAAAUAAUAAAUUAAAAAAAAUAGUGAAAAGAUAGUUUUGCCCAAAGGAGAGUCUUUUAAUGAUGGACAAAAAGUUCAAAUCACUUUUCUAAAGAUCUUUACACUUUUAAUAUAUUAUAGAUAUAGAUAGAUAUAUUUGGUUACUUUGAAUUAGGGGAAAAUGCACAAAUAGCCAACUUUGGGACCCAUUUAAGUCACAAUUGAAAUUUUGUAAGUUUAGUCAUUUCAGUAAAACGUUUACUUUAGGCCUUGAAAAUUUUGAAAUUUUAAAUUAAACAAUUCAAACUUCAUAUUAAUAAAUAAAGUUUUAACAACAACAUCCAAGUUAAUAUAUUGUAAAUAAAUGUCUAACAUUUUAUUCUCUAAAUUAAUCCUUACUUUUAUUAAUAAUCCUAUUAAUAUGUGAAGUUAAAUGUAUUUAUCUUUUAAAAAUACUACACAAAAAAUAACUAAUAUAAAAGAACAAAAAAAUAACUUAAGAUUAUUAAGUAUUAUUUUUGUAUGUAUAUAGAUUUAAGGUCUUUUAUUAAAAUUUGAUUUUAGACAAAGAAGUCAAUUAAUUUGCAGUGGCGAGUGUAAAACACGAGUAUUGAGUUAAGAUGAACUCUAUGUUUUACCUAUAUUUAAUAUUAGAUUCUGAACACAUAUUUGGAAAAAAGUAGUGCAUGGUUAUGUUGCUUACAAGUUAUUGACCGUGUUUUUAUCUGAGAUCAAUAUUAAUGGCGUUGAACUGGAAAUAUAGUAGAGACAAAAUUUUUAUUAAGAGAUUCAUUAUCCACUUUUAGGAAGAAUUCAGAAAAUAGACAUUUUGGUCAAUUUAUUUUGACAAAGAGAUUAGUUUUGAAAAAUUGGAAAAAGAGGCACCUAAUUAAUGGUCCAUGAAAAAAAGUAUCAAUCCUAGCACACAAGUUUAAAAACAUGUAUUUUAGUCUCACUAUCACUUCAAUCCCUAUGUUUUAGAGCACUAUCACUUCAAUCCCUAUGUUUAGAUCACUAUCACUUCAAUCCCUAUGUUUUAGAAACUAUAAAAGCUUAAGUUUCUCAACCAAGCUCCACUACCAAUCAUUAUUUUUUAAUUUUUCAACGAUUUGAUGGCCAUUCUUCAGUGAUUUUUUAUCGAUAAGCUCCACUAUCAAUCAUUAUUUUUCGAUUUUUCAGCGAUUUUAUGGCCAUUCUUGAGUGAUUUUUUAUCGAUUUUUUCGGCAUUCAUCAAAAAAUGACAUUACCUCAAUUAUUUUAAAUCAUUUUUUCAUAUUUUUAUCUUCACAUUUUCAUUCAAAAAGCUUGAAAAUCAGUCUCACUUUUUAAAUCGAUUCUAGCCUCAAUAUCAACAUUCCAACACUCAGCUUGCGAUUCUAGCCUCAAUAUCAAUAUUCCAACACUCAGCUUGUUCCAAAACUUCCCUUUUUACUUUUUUUUGCUGAGAUUUUAUCCCAAUAUUAAUAUAUGUAAUUGCAAUGAACUUGUUUAAUUAAAAACCUUCCAUUCUAUGUUUACAAACUUCAAUAUUGUCACACCUUUUUUUUAACUCCAAAAGAUUAAUUUUAAGUUUCGAAAGGAUUUUUAUUAUCAAAUGACAAAAAGUGAAAAUUUAUUUCAAAAAGGACCUUUUAUAUUCAAAACUCAGAGUCGCCACUUGGCAUAAAUCGGGUGUGCCAAGUCACCCUUGGAUAUCCUUUUUCAAAACGAGUUUCACUCUUUAAAACUGAUCCGCGAACAGAGAUUCCGGCUAAGGAAUUCUGUUGAUCGAGGGGAAGGUGUUAGGUACCCCUCGAUCCCAUGGUUCGACCGCGAUCGCUUGGUGGAGCAUUUCGGCUAACUUGACACUACUAAUGUAUAAACCACAUCAAACACAUAAAACAAGCAACAAACACAUCAAAUAACAAUCCAAAAUCAAAAUAAUAAUGUCCAGUCCAGUUAUACAGUCUAAAGUAGAAAAAUGUGAAAAAUAUAAAUCCUAUUCUAUACUAUCAUAGACUAAAGCUCCAAUGCCUUACCCGACGCUGUGGGCCUUCAUCACGAUCAUUUUUCGCCAAAAUGAUACGUCAGGACAUUCUCUGGUGAAUAAAUACAAUGUGUCUCGGGACAUUCCCCGAUCGAAUGAAUACAUCUGAAUUAAAUAAGCUAACUAAAAAACACGUUCAAAACACACAUUCAAAUAUUCAAAGCAUUCAAUCAACACAUCACUUCUAAAUUUUUGCCUACCCGAACCUAUAUUGCCUAUCCAUUUUAACAUAUCAUAAAUCUAUCACAUUCAUGCUUAUUCCGAAUUAAACAAAAAGACAACAAAGAAAAUUUAACCUACAUUCACCUUUUAUCAAUUUCACAAUUCCAGCCCCGCUAGCUUCGUUUUUACCAAUUACACUAAAAUUACUCCAAUUCGUUUCACAUAUCACCGCAAUCAUACCGUCAAGCACAUAAUCAUGACAUCAACCAAAUCCAACAAUCAUAAUUACCACACACAUAAUCACAACAUCAUUAUACCAAAUAAAAAUGAAAUAAGGAACAAAGGUUAUAAAGAUGGACCUUCCGAAUAUUGUCGAUUGAUUAAGAAGAGAAUAAAGCCGUUCCGGAACCUCAAAGAAUACCACGAAAUCUCGACUAUGAUCCAACUCCAACCCGAUAACCUUGGAACUCCAAUCCGAAACCCCGAAACCAAACAAUAAUCAAGUUUCCGAAAUCAGUACGAGGAUCCACAAGCCCACAACGAAGUCGCAAUAGAGUAAAAGAACCUGUACUUAAACCUCUCAAAAAUGGAUCGAUUUUAAGACGAAGAAGGUCUGUGAGUUCGAAACCCGAUGGUCCCGUCACCGGAAUCAAGUUGAGCAGGCUGAUUUCAGCUAGCUUGAUGGAUGAUUUGGGUUUUUCUACAUCGUGGGGUGCGAGCUAUGGGUCAGCUGUAUUCAAAUCCGGUGAAACAGUAGCCGAUUCCGGCGAAUCAGUAGCCGGAAAGCUUGAGGUCGACCGGAUUCAUUUACUUUUACUCAUUCUUUUUCUGACGAGUGUAUGUGUGUGUCGUGAGAGAGAAGCAUGUGAGAGUGACGAUGGAAGUUUCUUGAAAAGGGUUCUGUCAAUGGUGAUUGUUCUUGGGGAUUUUUUUAGUGAAUGAAGAAGAUCAUGAUCAAGAAAGAAAAAAAUCAGCGCCCCUUUUCUCUCGUUACUCUCUGUAUAUUCUCAAUGCAGACGUUUGUUCUGAGCAAUUGAUUGUUAAUAUUGUAUAACAAAGCCCACUUCUUCUCGAUUUAGCAUGCACCAACUUCUUCUUCCUCUCCGACUUUACGAUAUUAUAUAUAUCCUUGAUAAUUUAAUCUCUCGAAUUAAGGUUUCCGAUUGAAUUAUUGGUUGACCUUUAGUUGUUAAUUGUUGUGAUUAUUAUAUAUAAAUACUAUCCUAGUAUGGUAACUUGAGUUGUUACACAAAGGUUAUUAUAAUUGGUAUUGAACUUCUAUGAAUAACAAUUUCCACUACAAGUAGGAUAAGAAUGAAAAAUAUAAUAAUGAAGGUUGGUAAUCAACUCUGAUAGAGACGUAUAAUAUGGUUAAACACGAUUAGCACAAACAUAUUAGUUAAUUAAUAAAUUAAUUAAUUAAAUUGAUAAUAUGUUUUCUGACUUAACAUAAUCUUUUGAUACGUAAAAUUAUCUAUGGAUAAUAUUUUAAAACUGCCGCCGCUAGUUAUUAUACAUCCACACUCAUAAUAUUUUCAAUAAUUUUGAGAUGUGGAUGUGACCUUUUUUUUCUUAAAUUUUUAUUCACUCAUAGAGCGGGUCGGUCCAGUUCAUCCGAGCUAGUUCAUACGAGCUUUGAGUUUGACGGGCAAGACUGGUUUGGCCUAUCAAAAUGAUGGGCCAAAAAACACCAAGCCCACAACAUUACUCCGUGGGUUGCGGGCCUCACGGGCCAGCCCACUUUUUAAAAAAUAAUAUUUUAUAAUCUAAUUUUAGAAUGUUAAUAAAUAUAAAUAUUAACAGAUAAUAUUGCAUAGUGUUAAUACUUGUUAAUCAAGUCUCCAACACCCCCAAAAAAUACUCCUAAUUCGAAAUUAAAUAACUUUUAGCAUGAUAUUCUUUAAACCAAAUAAAAAUACUAAUAAGCAAUCUAAAUAGUUGCAUGUAUUUGACUUACGGGUCGAUCCACGGGCUAGCCCAAUCCACAUUGCUCAAGCCCUAUGGGCCACGGGCUUAUUCAGGCUGGGUUAAAAAGCCUUGUUAUUAAAUAGGCUGCAAAAACUGAAGCCCAACUCCAUUAAAUUACAGGCUGAAUCGGGCCAGUCUAAUGGACUUGGUCCAUAUUGAUGGCUCUAUACUCUCAUGGUCAUAAAAUAAUAUUAUUAACAACAACAAUAUAUCCAGCUGAAUCCCAUAAAUAGGAUUUAAGAGGAUAGAGUAUACGUAGUCACUACCUCGUGAAGGUAGAGAAUUUAUUUUCAAAAGACGCCCGACUCAAGUAUAGCAAAUCCAAAUAUAAAGAAGAAAAAAAUUGUGGACAAAACAUAAUAAAACAAAUAUUAAGGGAAGCAUGACAAGCCUACAGUAAUGGAGCAAGAAUAACAACAAAAUAGCGACUUUCGGAGGAUGUUAGCCUAUGAAUCGAUGGGUGGGUGCAGGCUUUGAAAAUAUUUUUGGGCGAAAUUUUUUGGGCCUAUUAAAUGGAUCGAGUUGCUUUGGAAGUACUGGGGGAGCCAUUUUUCAAUGCAAAUAAGUGAAACAACUGAAAUUGCAGAUUUUUUGUCACCUUCGAUGGGUAUUAGCCUAUAGACCGAUGGGUGGAUACGGGCUUUGAAAAUAUUUUUGGCGAAACUUCUUGAGCGGUUUCAUGACUACCUAUUAAAUGGAUCAGAUUGCUUUAGAGGGGCUGGGGGAGUCAUUUUUCAAGUCAAAUGAGCGAAACGACAUGAAUUAUGAUUUUUUUACGACAUUCAAUGGGUGUUAGCCUAUGGAUCGAUGGGCGGGUGUGGUCUCCAAAAAUAUUUUUGGGAAAAAAUUCUUGAGCGAUCCCCUGAUGACCUAUUAAAUGGAUCGGGUUGCUUUGGAGGGACUCGGGAGCCAUUUGUCAAGUCAAAUGAGCGAAAUGAUCGGAAUUGUAGAUUUUUUGCGACUUUAGGUGGCUGUUAGCUUAUGAAUCAGUGGAUGGGUGCGGACUCCAGAAAUAUAUAUGGGCGAAACUUCUUAAGCAGUCCGCUAACGACCUAUUAAAUUGAUUGGGUGACUUUGGAGGGGCUGGGGGAGCCAUUUUUCAAGUCAAAUGAGCAAACAACAGUAACUGGUGAUUUUUUGUGACUUUCGAUGGGUGUUAGCCUAUGAAUCGAUGGGUGGGUGCGGACUCCGUAAAUAUUUUCGGGCGAAACUUCUUGGGCGAUUUCCUGACGACCAUGAAUCAGGUUGCUUUGGAGGGGCCUAGGAAGCCAUUUUUCUAGUCAAAUGAGCGAAACGACAUAACUUAUAGAUUUUCUUGCGACUUUGGGUUUUAACCUAUGGAUCGAUGAUUAGGUGUGGGCUCCGAAAAAAUUGUUGGGAGAAACAUCUUAGGCGUUCCCUUGAUGACCUAUUACAUUGAUUGGAUUGCUUUGGAGGGGCUAAGGAAGUCAUUUUUUAAGUCAAAUAAGCGAAUCGGAGGAAUUUGCAAAUUUUUGCAACUUGUGAUGAGUAUUAACUGAUGGAUCGAUGAAUCGUUGCGUGCUCCAAAAAUAUUUUUGGGUGAAACUUAUUGAGUGGUCCCUUGACGACCUAUUAAAUGAAGGUUGGUAAUCAACUCUGAUACAUACAUAUGAUAUGGUUAAACACGAUUAGCAUACACAUAUCAGUUAAUUAAUUAAUUAAAUUGAUAAUAUGUUUUUCUGAUCUAACAUAAUCAUUUGAUACAUCAAAUUAUCUAUGAAAUAAUAUUUAAAAACUACCGUCAUUAGUUAUUAUAUCCACACUCAUAAUAUUUUCAAUAAUUUUGAGAUGUGGUUGUGACCUUUUUUUGUUCUUAAAUUUUUAUUCCACACUCAUGGUCAUAAAACAAUAUUACUAACAACAACAACAUAGCUAGCUGAAUUUCACAACUAAGAUCUAAGAGGAUAGAGUAUAACUAGUCACUAUCUCGGAGAGAUAGAGAAUUUAGUUUCAAAACAUCCUCGGUUUAAGUACAGUAAAUUUAAGUACAAAAAAGAAAAAAAUAGUGAAGAAAACAUAAUAAAGCAACUAUAAAGAAAAGCAAUGCAAAAUCUAACAACAAAAUAGUGCGAUAAUCGAAACACAAUAAAUAAUAAGUGAUGAUGAUAGAUAUCAAAAGUAAGAACUUUAAGAAUAUCAACGACAAACACCAACAUACCUAGACGGCUAGACCUUCAAAAUAAAAAAAAAAGCAAGACAACACUCUACUAUCUACUAACUUUCUGUCCUAAUAUAUGUGUCGUCCUCCGCACUUCAUAUCCAAGGUCACGUCUUCCGUAAUUUAAAGUUUUCAUCUCCUGUCUACUCACCUCUUUCAAUACUUCUUCGGCUUAUUAUAGUCAUUAUAGAGAUAUUUUACACCAUAAGUGAUCAAGUCAAUUUACUUGUGCGCGAUAUAGUAAUUGCCUAAGGCCAAACAUAAACGGACACAUUAAUUUUUUUUUAAAAGAAUAAUAUUUUUUACAAUUUAUUUUUUAAAUAUCUUGAGAUGUAGAGUUGUUAAUAAUUUUUAUAUAAUUGAUUUCUUCUUAUAAUUCUUUUUUAAUAAUAAUAUAAUCAAUAUAUUUAAUUUUAAUGAGACAUAAUACUCCAAAUAUAUCAAACUUCUUCUAAGGAUUCUUUCUUUUUAUAUAAAACAUUAAUUUUUUUUAUAAAUAAUAUUUAAUAUUUUUUUAUUAAUCUACAAUUUAUAUUUUUUUUUAAAAAAAAUUGAGGUCCCUCAAAUUUGGGUCCAACGCCAUUUUUUCGCAUAUCUUUUUGGUUGAGUACAUCAUAAGUAUAGUAAAAAAUUGACCUCUUAUAUGAAAUUAAAUAAUGUUACAAAUUGCACAUUUGUUUAUUAUUUAUUUUAUAAUUUAAUUUUAUGUGUGUUGCUUUCGAGUGCGAAAGAAGAAGAAUAUUAUUGGAACAUACACGAGAGACAUGACUUUAUAAUUUAUAACAGUAAGUUAAUUUUGUGGAUUAAUAGAAAUUGAAUCACAAAAUUCUCAAUGGCUAUAAAUAAGAGACUUAAUUGAGCAAGGAAAUACAAGUAAACAUAUAAUUCACUCUAUAUCUUAAGGCAAAUAAAUUAAACUAUGGCUGGAAAAAAUAUUUCUUUCCUUUUUGCUGCUCUUCUUGUGGCCAUUACAAGUUAAUAUAUAGUUUCAUUAAUUUCAAUCUUUCUUUAUAUACAUAUAGUAUAUAUUAAUAGAUAGGGGCGUGUUCAGUAUGGAGAAAAAUAUUUAAUGUUUCUAAUUCUUUUGUUUGGAUUGGUUAAAAAUUUAGAAAAAUAUUUUCUUUAGAAAAACAUACAAACUCCUUGAAAAGUAUUUUCACAAUGAAAGCAGAGAAAACAAGUCGCGUUUGUCUCCUCCCACCCGCACAACUCACCGCCGCUGCCAUAUCGGCAAAUUAGGAUAAUAUAUUUUUACUUGCAUGCAUACGUAACACAAGAAAAUAAGUAAGAAAUCAUUUAUUUUCGUAGAAAAUAUUCUUUUGCAAUAUAUUUUUCAUGAAAAAUAUUUUCAUUUCUAUCGAACACACCCAUAAUAUAACUAUCUUUAUUUGUAUUGUUUAUUGCAUAGUAUUUAUUCUCUCGAUCUGUCUCAAUUUUUGUGACGAUUAAUUAUAAUUUAAUUUUGAUUUUUGUGUUUGUUUAUGUGCAGUUACCUCUCCAACUAUGCAAGUGAUGGCAUUGAGAAACUUACCAGAAAAUGUGGAGGUUGUUGGACUAAAUUAUGUAUUGAUGAUCCCAAACAUUAAUCCAAGGCUCCAAACUUGUCUGAGACCUUGCAGAAUUGAUGCUGAUUGUUCUAAAGAUUGUUGGAUUUGUUGUCAAUGUAAUGGAGUUACUUGCUAUUAAUCGAUCGAUUAUCAUCAUAAUUUCAUAUCUCUUACUUAGAGAAUGAAAUGAAUGUACGUCCGUACGUACGUAUGUACGUGUGAUAUUUCAUAUUAAAACUAUGUUGUUGUUUGUUUUUUCAUGAACAUCAUGUCACUUGUAAGGUACACUACCUACUAGAAUAAGUGACUAAGUUAUCCCGUUGAAUAAGUACGUACGUACGUAUGUAUUGUGGGUGUAUGUUCUGUAUUGUAUUGUAUGAAUCUAUUUGUGUUUUAUUCCUCCUUUUUAUCGCCUUGAUUCUUGUUUAACCUAGCUAAAAUCUGAUCAUUUUAAGUUAUAAUAAUUAGAUUUGUUAAAUUAGAGUUACUUGCAAUUAAUCGAUAGUUCAUCGUUGUAAUUCCAUAUCUCUUACGUACUUAGAGAAUGAAAUGAAUCGUAAUGUACGUGUGAUAUUUCAUAUUAAGACUAUGUUGUUGUUUGUUUUUUCAUGACCAUCAUGUCACUUGUAAGAUAACUACGUACUAGAAUAAGUGACUAAGUUAUCCCAUUGAAUAAGUAUGUACGUACGUACGUGUAUUGUGUGUGUGUAUGUUCUGUAUUGUAUGAAUGUUGAUGUUGAGUGUCUUAAAGAUUGUUGGAUUUGUUGCAAAAUAAUGGAGUUACUUGCUAUUAAUCGAUCAAUCAUCAUCAUAAUUUCAUAUCUCUUACUUAGAGAUUGAAAUGAAUGUACGUACGUACGUGUGAUAUUUCAUAUUAAAACUAUGUUGUUGUUUGGUUUUUCAUGAGCAUCAUGUCACUUGUAAGGUAUAUUACCUACUAGAAUAAGCGAGUAAGUAUUUCAUUGAAUAAGUAUGUACGUACGUAUGUAUGGCGUGUGUUGUUAUGUAUUGUAUGAAUGUUGAUGUUGAGUGUCUUAAAGAUUGUUGGGUUUGUUGCAAAUGUUGUCACACCCCUUUUUUCAACACGAAAAUGAUUGGAUUUUAUGGUUCGAAAUUAUUUUUAUUAUUAAAGUAACAAAAUGAUGAAAAUCUGUUUUUAAAAUGGACUAUUGACAUUUUUUAUUCAGAGUCGCCACUUGACAUAAUCCGGUGUACCAAGUCACCUUUGGAAAAUCCUUUUCAAAAUAUUUUGACUCUUGAAACUGGUUUGCGAACAGAGAUUCCGGGUAAGAAAUUCUGUUGACCGAGGGGAAGGUGUUAGGCACCCCUCGAUCCCGUGGUUUGACCACGUUCGCUUUGUAGGGAGUAUCAGGUAACUUGACAUCAACGAGUGUAUAAACCACACGAAACACAUAAGGCUAUCAAUCAAACAAACACACCCAAACAAAUCCCCAAAAUAAUGUUUAGUCCAAUUAUACAGACCAAAGUAAAAAGAAAUACGAAAAUAUAAAUCCUAUUCUAACCUACCCUAAUCCUAACUACGCUCCCAUGCUACCCGAUGCCACGGGCCUUCAUCACGGACGUCCUCCGAGUAUAAAAUACUUCGGGGCAUUCCCCGGAGAAAAUAAUACAAGUGCUUCGGGGCAUUCCCGGCCAAAUGAUACAAUCGAAUCAAGUACGACAAACUUAGAAAAUAUUCAAUAAACAUUCCAUAUUCAAACAUUCAACGAAAAACUAAAUCCAAAAUUUUGCCUACCCGAACUUACAUUGCCUAUCCGUUUUCACAUGUCAUAACUCUUUCACGUUCACACAAUGUUUAUGCUUAUUCCGGAUUAACAAAAAUAAUAAUAAAUCCACGUUAAUCUAAUUCAACCCCUUUUAUCAAGUUCUCAAUUCCACCCCCCGCUAGCGUCGUUUUUAUCAAUCAACAAUCAACAUAUGAUCAAAUUCUUUCCUCAAACCACCAUAUCCAAAUCAACAAACGUCAUGAUCAACAUCAACAAUAAAACCAACAAACAUAAUAACAUCACACAUAAUCACAACCAAUUCGACACUCCAAGAUAAAUAAAAAAGAGAGAGGGUUAAGAAAUGGACCUUUCGAUAUCGAAUUUCAUUGAUAAAAUGAGUUAAGAAAACCCGAGUUUGGAAUCCUUGAUAGCACCUCAACGAUGAAUAAGCUCCAAACUCGAUAUUAGAAUAAUAGCCAAGCAGCUUCGAGACCAGCGAGUAUGAACUCCUAACGUAGGAUUUAAAUCACGAACGAGGACCCGAUUGACCAUGAAAUCAAUCGAAAUCUGAUAUCGACGAUGAACAAAAUAAAAGACGAACCCAAAAUCCCAACGAGCCAAUAGAAAACUAAAACCUGAUGUAGACCGAGCUCCGAUGAGCUCCGAUGAUGGCCGAAAUAGCGGGUCAAGAUGACACUGACGCGUUCUGAUGUUUCUAGGCCAGAUUCACUUCGGAGCCUGUAAGAAAACGAUGAGAUUUCUCUGAUUUCAAGACGGGUCAGAUAAGUCGACACACUGGAUGAACCUCCGACAAAGAAGUUCACCGGAAAAAUAAGCAACUCAGUGGAUUCUCGUUCUCGUCCCCUUCCCCAAUCUCCCUGUUUUAACCUCUCUUCCUCUUAUCGAUUUUUCUUUCUAUCUGGGUGUAUAUAGUGAGUGUGCCUUCAUACAAAAAUGAAAAGAAAUAAAGAAAAGAAAAAAAAUUGUGGUAUUGAUCUUCUCUAUUUUCUCUAUGAGGAUGAUGAAGAAGGAAAAGGGAACAAUCCAACAAAUAGCCCCCUUCCUAAUCUCUAUGUGCGUGUAUAUAUAUUUCUGUGAGUGGGGUGUGGGGCACGCGAGUGGGGUGAGGGGGUAGGGGUAAGAUAUCUUGAAAUUUCGUGGGAGGUUCCUCGUGGGACCCCCUGAUAUAUGUGAUGUUGUGUAUAUUAUAUUUAUAAAUAAAACAAAUGGAAAAUGGUCAGCAAAAUGAAAAAUUCUAAAUUGGAAAAAUAUCCUUGUGGGUCCCUCCAAGUUGUUAUCUUGGUGUGUAUGCAUAUUCUUUCUUUGUGGACAAGAAAAGGAGAGGGGGAGGGGGGUCACGUGGGUAUGGUGUCCUAAUUUUAUUGGAGGGGCUAUUAGGGUGUUGAAAAUAAGACAAAAAUUAUUAUGAUUUGUUAUUUAGAUAAUGACAAACUAAAUAAAUAGAUAAGUAAAAUGAUGAGGGGGUUAUUUAUUUUCUUGGGAAAAAAUUACCAAGCGGAUAGGGUACGUAGUAAAACGGGAUAAACGAUAAAAUUUGUGAAGGGACGAAAUUACAUGUCUACGUCAUGCCCCCUUUGAAGUAGACAACGAGACAAAAUUUUGUUCCGAUCAUUAUUCAAAACAAGAAACAAAAGGAAGAAAGACAACCGAGUCUUGGUGGACAUCCUACCUACCUAAGUUAUGAGGGAAUCAAGUGACAUGUAUCUCAAAGGAUUGGAAAGAGAUGGAUUAUACCGAGUUGGAGCGUCGAGUGAGGUUUCAUUGAGGUUCCGGCCCGCGGCUCUGUCAUUACAUAAAAAAAUAAAAAUUACAAGUUAAAACAUAAAUGGAAUUACAAAAUCCUAUCUAUGCAACUUUCCUUGACUCUUGACGUGAGUUUUAUCACCCUGUUCUUCAGGCGGGCUCUUAACUUGCAAUUUCUUUCAACUUGUUGCUUGGUUUUCCGUUGCUUCACUUCGUUGCUCGACUUUCAUUUAUUCGCCCUGCUCUUCAGGCGGGCUUCUGACUUGCCAUUUUUGUCCUUCAAUUUCAUCAACCUGUUCUUCAGGCGGGUUCCUAACUUGCAGUUUCUUCAAUUUCCUAUUUCAUCACCCUGUUCUUCAAGUGGGCUCCUGACUUACAGAUUCAUAACCCUGUUCUUCAGGCGGGCUCCUAAAAUCAAACUAACAACUAGAAACAAAAUUAUCCCUAACAAAGAUUAAGAUUAAGAGAGACUUUAUUUUUCUGAAAGUAAUGUUCCAUUUUUCAGGAGGGUCCUAAACAUAAAGUAAAAUCCUAUUCUCCAGGAGGGUCUUAAACAUAAAGUUAAAUCCUAUUUUACAGGAGGGUUCUAAACGGAAAGUAAAAUCCCAUUUUCCAGUAGGGUCCUGAACGGAAAGUAAAAUCCCAUUUUCCAGGAGGGUCCUGAACAAAAAGUAAAAUCUCAUUUUUCAGGAGGGUCCUGAACAGAAGAUAACAUCCCAUUUUCAGGAGGAUCCUGAACAUAAGGUAAAAUCCCAUUUUUUAGGAGGGUCCUGAACAGAAAGUAAAAUCUCAUUUUUUAGGAGGGUCCUGAACGAAAAGUAAAAUCCCAUUUUCCAGGAGGGUCCUAAACAGAAAGUAAAAUCCCAUUUUUCAGGAGGGUCCUGGACAGAAAGUAAAAUCCCAUUCUUCAGGAGGGUCCUGAACAAAAAGUAAAAUCCCAUUCUUCAGGAGGUCCUGAACAUAAGGUAAAAUCCUAUUUUUUAGGAGGGUCCUGAACAGAAAGUAAAAUUCCAUUCUUCAGGAGGGUCCUGAAUAGAAAGUAAAAUUCCAUUCUUCAGGAGGAUCCUGAACAGAAAGUAAAAUCCCAUUUGGAAAGUAAAAUCUCAUUUCCAGGAGGGUUCUGAAUAGAAAGUAAAGUCCCAUUUUUCAGGAGGGUCCUGAAUAGACAGUAAAAUCCCAUUUUUUAGGAGGAUCCUGAACGGAAAGAAAAAUCUUAUUUUUCAGGAAGGUCCAGAAUGAAAAGUAAAAUCCCAUUUUUCAGGAGGAUCCUGAACAGAAAGGAAAAUUCUAUUUUUCAGGAGGGUCCUGAAUAGAAGGUAACAUCCCAUUUUUCAGGAUGAUCCUGAACAUAAGGUAAAAUCCCAUUUUUCAGGAGGGUCCUGAACAAAAAGUAAAAUCCCAUUUUUUAGGAGGGUCCUGAACAGAAAGUAAAAUCUCAUUUUUUAGGAAGGUCCUGAACAGAAAGUAAAAUCCUAUUUUUUAGGAUGGUCCUGCACGGAAAGUAAAAUCCCAUUUUUCAGGAGGGUCCUGAACGAAAAGUAAAAUCCCAUUUUUCAGGAGGGUCCUGAACAGAAAGUAAAAUCCCAUUUUUCAGGAGGGUCCUGAACAAAAAGUAAAAUCUCAAGAUAUUCUUUCUCAAUGAUAGCUGAAUUUACUAAACAAAAACUUCACCCCUGUUUCAUCAAAGAAAGAAAAAUUAUUCAGUUAACUUAGUGGUGGCUUGCAGCACUUGGCUUUCCAGGCAUCUGCUCUAGUAGUUGUUCCUUUCGUCUUUGUUUCAAAUUGUUGACACUUGCCCCUGUCUUGUCGCAUCAUUGACCCAGACUAGAUCAGGAAAAUUCCUUUGACUCAAAUACCAAGAUUCUAUUUUACCAUGCCUCUGAGAUGCACCUUUUGACAUCUGAUACUCCCAUGAAUCUAGCAACCUGUCAGUUGAUAGACUACCUUUGCCUUGUGUUGAAUUAUGAUCAUGUUUCUCUCAUGUGCUGGUCCUUGGCUUUUUCUCAUACAAUUGGAAAUAAUGGUAGCAAGUUUUGAAAUCCUUUCUCGUUUGUUUUGACACAGACUUGACUUAAAAUGUAAAAAAAUGAUGGUGAGUUUUAUUUUGAUAAAUGACAUAAAAAGACAAAGUAUGAAUACGUAAAUGAAAGAAAAGGGCAAUGUCCCUUAUUCAAAAAGAAAACUUACCUAAAUACGGCAACCAACUCCAAUGAGCACGACAUACAUUUUGGAUUAAACUGCCUGAUCUUCCUAUCCAAACUUCCCAUUUGUUGUUGAGUUCAUGCCUUUGCCGCUAAGCCACUUCUUCAAAUCCAUUGGACUCAUAUAUCUCAUUCAAUUGAUGAUAUCUUAGAAGACUUUCGCCAACAAAUNNNNNNNNNNNNNNNNNNNNNNNNNNNNNNNNNNNNNNNNNNNNNNNNNNNNNNNNNNNNNNNNNNNNNNNNNNNNNNNNNNNNNNNNNNNNNNNNNNNNNNNNNNNNNNNNNNNNNNNNNNNNNNNNNNNNNNNNNNNNNNNNNNNNNNNNNNNNNNNNNNNNNNNNNNNNNNNNNNNNNNNNNNNNNNNNNNNNNNNNNNNNNNNNNNNNNNNNNNNNNNNNNNNNNNNNNNNNNNNNNNNNNNNNNNNNNNNNNNNNNNNNNNNNNNNNNNNNNNNNNNNNNNNNNNNNNNNNNNNNNNNNNNNNNNNNNNNNNNNNNNNNNNNNNNNNNNNNNNNNNNNNNNNNNNNNNNNNNCAAGAGGCUCAAACGACACUUGAAGUGGGGGUGGGACUUACAACUUUUGGAAUCGACUCAAACAACACAUUAACUCAUGCCCCAGUUUUGUUGACUGGGUGAUUCUAAAAAUAUUUAUUUGGUUGGACCGAGCCCUGAAUAGGGCAGCCUACGUAUCUCACCCCCGAGAGAGGAGAAUCAGGUCGCACGUAGUUCCAUCAGCUUGUUAUUUGUUUUGAUUUGAUUUUUUUUUCUUUUUUUUCUAUUUUCAAACUCUUUCUUUUAUUCUUAUUUUCCCGAUAUUUAUCUUUGACUCUAUUUUGAUUCCAAAAGAGGGAUAUGAAAGAAAAAUAAAACUAAGCUCAAACGGGGUAAACAAAGGAUGACACAAUAUUUGGAGAGUAGGAUGAAAUGCCUUCAUCAUAUCAAUCUUUAAAAAUGCAAGUACUAAUCAUGCCAUAGAACCAACAAGGAGUAAAAAUAUCAUACAUAGUGUCUUUUGACUGCAUUUGCAUUGAUAGCUAUUUCUGCCAUUUUGCCUUCAAUAUCUGUGAAAUAUAAGGCUCCAUUGGGCAACACUUUCUUUACAAUAAAGGGACCUUGCCAAUUUGGGGAGAACUUGCCUUUCGCUUCAACCUGAUAAGGAAGGAUACGCUUUAAUACCAACUGACCAACUUCAAAAUUCUUGGGUCAUACCUUUUUGUUACACACUCGAGCCAUUCUCUUCUGAUACAAUUGGCCAUGACAUACCGAUGUCAGUCUUUUUUUAUCAACAAACUCAACUGUUCCAGUCGAUUUUUGAUCUAUUCAUCAUCAUCAAUCUCUGCUUCAACAAUGACUCAAAGAGAGGGAAUUUCAGCUUCUGCGGGCAUGACUGCUUCUGUUCCGUACACCAAUAAAUAUGGAGUUGCCCCUAUUGAAGUGCAAACAGUAGUGCGAUAACCUAGCAGAGCAAAUGAAAACUUCUCAUACCAUAGUCUAGACCCUUGCACCAUUUUUCGCAGUACCUUCUUGAUAUUCUUAUUGGCGGCUUCCACAGCGCCAUUUUCCUUUGGACGAUAUGGAGUGGAAUUUUGAUGUACGAUCUUAAACUGUUGGCACACUUCUUGAAUCAAAUGACUGUUGAGAUUGACAACAUUAUCUGUAAUGAUCAUCUUUGAAAUUCCAAACCUAUAAAUGAUGUUGGCAUGAACGAAAUCUACUACCACUUUCUUUGUCACUGACUUGAAAGUUACUGCUUCUACCCACUUUGUGAAGUAAUCAAUGGCCACCAAAAUAAAUCUAUACCCAUUUGAUGCCUUUGGCUCAAUCAGUCCAAUCACGUCUAUUCCCCAAGCUACGAAAGGCCAUGGAGUAGACAUUGUAUGCAACUCAACAGGAGGAGAAUGUAUUAGAUCACCGUGUACUUGACAUUGAUGACAUUUUUGAAAAAAUCGAAUAAUAUCCCUCUCCAUAGUAAGCCAAUAAUAACCUGCUCUGAGAAUCUUCAUAGACAAGACAUAACCGUUCAUAUGAGGCCCUCAUUCUCUGGAAUGAAGUUCAACCAUGAUUGCCGAAGCUUCUUUUGCAUCAACACACCUCAAAAGUCUCAGAUCCGGGUUCUCUUGUAUAAGAUUCCCCUAUUUAAGAAAAAUCCACUUGACAAACGCCUAAUAGUCCUCUUUUGAUCAUUGGUGGCAUGUGUUGGGUAUUCUCUUGACUGAAUGUAUCGCUUGAUAUCAAAGAACCAAGGUUCUUCAUUGAGCUCUUCUUCAACCGUAUUAUCGUAAGCAUGCUGAUCACGACUCUGUAUAUGCACUGGAUCGAUGUAGGCUUUAUCCGGAUGUUGGAGCAUUGAAGACAGAGUGGAUAAAGCAUCAACAAUCUCAUUAUGAAUCCUUGGAAUAUGCCUAAAUUUUACUGACACAAAUCGUUAACAUAGCUCCUGCAAGCAUUGUCAAUACAGUAUGAGCUUCAAAUCUCGCGUCUCCCAAUCGCCUUGAAUUUGAUGGAUGAGAAAAUUUGAAUCCCCCAACACUAAUAGUUCCUGGACUCCCAUAUGAACAGCUAGCCUCAAAUGCAGAAUGCAAGCUUCAUAUUCCGCUAUGCUAUUGGUACAAUAAAAUCAACGUUGUACUGUUACCGAAAAAUGUUUCCUCACCUCAGAGAUAAGAACUGCACCUAUUCUGACUCCUUUCAUAUUGAUAGCUCCAUCGAAGAACAAUUUCCAACCUGGAUCAGCAUUUAUAACGACUUCAUCGACACACAACACUUCUUCAUCAGAAAAAUAUGUCUUUAAUGACUCGUACUCUUCAUUAAUGGGAUUCUCAGCAAGAUGAUCUGUGAAGGCUUGGGCUUUCAUGGCAGUUCGAAUCACAUAUACAAUGUCGAACUCGGUAAGCAAUAUUUGCCACUUUGCCAAACAACCAGUCAGCAUAGGCUUCUGAAAGAUAUACUUCAAAGGAUCCAUGCAGGAGAUAAGAUAAGUAGUGUAGGACGAAAGAUAAUGCUUCAACUUCUGUGCUACCCAAAUUAGGGCGCAACACGUCCUUUCAAGAAGAGAGUACCUGGCCUCAUAUGUUGUGAACUUCUUUCUAAGAUAAUAAAUAGCCUGCUCUUUUUUGCCCGUGAUAUCACAUUGACCCAGGACACAACCGAAAGAAUUAUCCAUGACCGAUAAAUAUAAGAUCAAAGGCCUACCAGGCUCCGGUGGUACCAGCACGGACGAAUUUGACAGAUAUCUUUUGAUUUUGUCGAACGCUUCCUGACAUUCUUUAGUCCACUCUACUGCAACAUUUUUUUUAGCAACUUGAAAAUGGGCUCACACAUGGUUGUGAGUUGAGCAAUAAACUUGCUGAUAUAGUUCUGUUUACCAAGCAAACUCAUCACUUCUGUCCUAUUCUUGGGCGGGGGCAAAUCCUGAAUGGCUUUGAUUUUCGAGGGAUCCAAUUCAAUUCCUCGAUGGCUGACUACAAACCCCAACAGCUUUCCAGCCGGAGCUCCAAACACACAUUUUGCCAGGUUGAGCUUGAGAUUAUACCUGUGAAGCCUUUCAAAGAACUUUCUUAAAUCUUUAACAUGGUUAGCCUAACUUUUAGACUUAAUAAUCACAUCAUCUACAUAGACCUCAAUCUUCUUAUGCAUCAUAUCAUGAAACAUAGUGGUCAGGGAUCUCAUGUAUGUUGUUCUAGCAUUCUUCAAACCAAACGGCAUCACUCGAUAGCAAUAAGUCCCCCGUGGUGUGAUAAAAGAUGUCUUUUAUACGUCUUCAUCAUCCAUAAUGAUUUGGUGGUAUCCAGGAUAGCAAUCCUCUCGUGUUUAGCACAAUUGUCCAGCAAAUUAUGGAUGUUGGGCAACGAAAAUCAUUCUUCAAACUUGCUCUAUUCAAAUUACGAUAAUCAACACAUACUCGAAUUUUGCUAUCUUUCUUUGGGACAGGAACAACAUUGGAUAACCCGUAGGAUAACGAGCCACUCGAAUGACUUCGGCUUCAAGUUGUUUCAUGAUUUCUUCUUUGAUUUUGAUACUUACAUCAGUUUUAAACUUCCCUAACUGCUGUUUCACAGGGGGGAAUGCGGGAUCAGUUGGCAAUUUAUGGGACACUAAUUCGGUGCUUAGACCAGGCAUAUCAUCAUAAAACCAUGCAAAAACAUCCUUAUAAUCAAUUAAUGCUUAAAUCAUUCCAUCUUUUAGCUGUGGCAAAGCAUAUACACUGAUUUUAGUUUCCCUAGCAUCUUCUUGAUUCCCUAGAUCAAUUGGCUCAAUUUCAUUCAAAUUAGGAUUUGGCUUGUCUUCAAACUGUUCCAACUCUUUGCUUAUUUCCUCUAGUGCCUCUUCUUCAUCAUAUUCCCCCUCUUAAUUCAUUAUAUCUUGAUUAGUUUGGAUUUUAAGAUCAGGCUAAAAAUUUUGCAUGUAUGUCAUGUCAUUAGAAUCAACAUAAAGAGAACUGUAUAAAGAAAAAGACAAAAACAAAAUAUAUUAGAUACGAAACAAAAGGGACAUUGUAUUUCAUUAAAAGGAAAGAUAUGAGAGUUUUAACAUAAAUGCCAACAUAACAUAAAUAAACUAAAAUUUGAAUUACAACCCUGAAAUAACUUGAAUAAAUAGAAAGAAAAACAAAACAAACUACCAAAACUCCCUCCUGACAGGGAGAGGAGUGACCUCCUAAUUAUUCAGCCGGAUAGCUGGACCUAUGAAUGGCAUGUCUGCCUUACUGGUACUUUCUCCUACUUCAACCAUGUCAACUUCGAUCAAUAGGUUCUGGAAGUCAUCAAUCAAUUCAUCUCCAAACUCUAUAGGUGCCACGACACUACCCUUGAUAAAUGACUUACUGAGUAGGGGCACUGGGCGAGGGAGUGACCAUGUUUCUUUUUUCCUUCCCUUGGCCUUCUUCAAAUCUUCAGUCGUAGGUUCAAAUCCUAAACCAAAAGUGACCAUGUUAUCAUUCGGACAUAUGGGAUGAACCAUACCAUGCAGAGAUACUCCCAAACCCUUCCCUGGCACAAAUCUAUAUUUCAAAAGCUCACUCACCAUCAUGAUAGAAGUGGAAGACAAUUAUGGUCCCAAAACAACCCGUCCUUCAAGGAUAUGAUCUACUGGCACUGUAUCAAAAGUCUGAUAGACAAAUUUCUCCUUUACAUUGUUUGCUUCAAUUAGAGACAUGGGAAAAUCUUCGUAGGCAGACAAAUCCUCUUCACCAUGAAUAACCACUUCUAUCCUGUCGUGCUCAAACUUGAUCAUCUGGUGCAAUGUAAAUGCAAUCGCCUUGGCCUUGACUUCCUCAAACUUUCAGGCACGAAGCAUCUUCCUGAUCGAGUUAAACCCCCUACCUCAUCUACAUCUUCCACUACUUCCUUCCCCUGAUAGAUUAUCACAGUCCGUUUAUAGUUCUAGGGAAAUUUUUUAUAUCAACUAUCGGAGGUUGGAUCACUGGUUUGAUGAUAAUAGGCACUAUAAAUGCCCCUUUCACCGUCAAGAUAGGCUUACCCGGAGCUCCUACCACCGUUAACUUAGGUUUAUCCUAACUUAAAUCAACAUAUCUUCUGGCACGUUGCACUAUGAUCAUGGGUUUCUUUGUGCUUUCUUGGGCUUUAUCUUCUCCCAUUCCUUCAUGUCUUAAUGACAUUGCUUUCAAUGAAUCUUGCAUAUUCACUGAUUUGUCCUUAUUGGUCUAUAUUCUGACAAUAUGCUUAUAAUACCUUAAAAACUCUUUCACAUAAUAUAUCAGUUCUAACAUAUUGGUUUCAGCAUGGGUUGGCAACGGAUUUUGGUUAAUGUUUAGAGCUUCUGGGUCCUGGACCAGAAUUUGAUUUGCAUUAAUUAAAUCUUGGAUAGCUCUCUUCAAAUGCCAUCAUUUCUCGAUAUUGUGGCCUGGCAUGUUAGAACAAUAUGUACACCUUAAAGAAUAAUCGAGAUUCCUGGGAGGUGGAAUUGAAAGCCUUCCUAAAAUCGGGCUUAAGACCUUCGUUUUUCUCAAUCUAUCAAACAAGCUAGCAUAUGUCUCCCCGAGAGGCGUGAACUAAUUUUUGACCGAUUUUUCUUUCUUGUACUCGGGCCUAGAUUGGAAACUGGGUCUAGAGGGAUUUUGGUAAUUUGGUGGAGCAGAUGAACGAUUUUAUAGAGCUUGCACAUGCCAUUAUAGGUAAGAAGGGUUUUGGGCAUAUGGUUGUGCGCUAUAUACUGGGUGAGGAGGGGUGGAAUAACAUAUGAUGGGUUUUGCAGAGGGUAGUAAUGGUGGGGAGGAAUAUAUGGAGCUUGGACAUAGGUUGGGCUUGGGAUUGAGAAUAGGGGCGAGGCGAUCUUUUAGGAUAAGAAUGGGGUCUAGUAACAAUGGUCUCCAUGUCCUUUUUUUUUUUUACCUCUGAACGCGCUAGAUCCACCUUGCAUCGCUUGUGUGGUGGCUUUUAAUGCGGUAAAACUCACUAUUCAGUCGGUCUUGAUUUCGUCCUCUAUCAUCUCUCCCAUUUUGAUGACUUCAAUAAAAGACUUUCCCAUUUCCAGAAGUAAAUAUUGAAAAUAAGUCUCAUCAUGUGCCUGAAUGAAAACCUCUACCAGCUUACUCUUCUUCAUUGGAGGAUUUACCCUGGUGGCCUGUUCACGCCACCUUAUCGCGUAUUCACUAAAGCUUUUAGUUUUUUUCUUCUUUAUGUUGCCGAAGGAUUUUUUGUCAGGAAUCAGGUAGACAUUAUACUGAAAAUGUUUCACAAACUCAGAAGCUAAGUCAUCCCAGCUGAUCCACUUAUCGAUAUCUUGAUCGGCAAAUUAUUCUGAAGCCAGAUCGAAAAGAUUUUCGCCAAAGAAAGCCAUAAGCAACUCCUCCCUUCCCCCUUACAGCCCUCAACUGGUUGCAAUAACGUCUCAAGUGUGCUACAGGAUCACCGUGCGCAACAUACUUCUCGAUCUUAGGCAUUUUAAAAUCGAGGGGAAGGUUGACGUCUAGGAAUAUACAAAGAUCUUUAUAGGAAACACUCUUGUAACCUCUGGUUCCCUGCAGAUUCCUCAUGGCCUGUUCCAAAAUUUUCAAUUUUUGUGAUAUGACCUCCUAUUCCUCUAUUGUGAUAGGUUUCUCCGUAUCAAAUGGAAAUACAGAUGGCUGAGUAUACCCAUAUGGUUAAUUCAUUCUCAAAGUAGGCUCCGGGGUAUAAUACUGACUAUCUGAAACCUUCAAUUCUGGCUCACUGGCAGACCGAGAAAGCACCAUUAUCGGACACACAACAUAUGUGGGAGCUUCAGGUGGUGGCGGAGCCAUGAACACAGGAGCUUCCGGUGGCGCCGGCUGAGUCAUGGGCCUUGGUUGAGGAAAUGCCAGGGGAACACUAGAAGUGCCAGGGUAAUAUUGCCGUGGAGUGAAUCCUGGUGCGUGCUUCGAUGACUUAAUGGGAACAGAGAAUUGUACCUGAGAGAGCGGUGGGCAAUUGGGGAUAUUCCCAAGAUCUUCAUGAAGUGGAGGAGGAGGCAAGCCACUAGCCCAUGCUCGGUGCAGAUCUAGCAAUUGUUGUCUAAGUCUUAAUACCUCAUCAUUGCGUUCUGAACUUUCUUCCCUGGGAUCCUGUUCAGGGUCAAUAAGUAAAUUUUCAAUCUCCCUACUAGCCAUGGCAAGCUUCGCUUUUGAUCUAGUGAAGUACGGAUGACUAGCCAGAGUUCUACAAACCAACCACUUAUCUGAAAGAACAUGCUCAUCAAAGGCAAAACCCGUUAGGAUUAGGUCAGGCAACAAGCAUAGAAAUCACAUUGUAUACAUCCUAGGUUUAUGCACAUUUCUACCGGCCUUUGAGGGUAAUAAGGUCAUUUUAACAUCAUCCCAAUUUCCCCAUUACAUUAUCACACCUCGUUCUUUCUGUUUUUCACCUUCAUUUCUCUCUUCUUUUGCAUCAGUCUCUUCUCUUCCUCUUUUCUUCUCUUAUUGCUCUUUCUUUUUUUCCUGCUCUCACGAUCUCAUUUCCUUUUAUCAUUCUUAUGGCUUUUAUGUUUCUUUAAAAGAGGAAAAUUGGGAAAAAUCAAAGAAACAAAACGAUUAGAUCGAACCCAAAAGUACAUGAAUCAGAUCUUGCGUAGUUCGAGCAAUGCAUGAAUAAACACCACAAAGUUGAAGAUUUGUUUUUUUAGAGAAAGAACACACAAAAGGAAACAAGUCUAGAACUUCACUACAUUUCAUAAAAGAGACAAUUGAAACAAACUUCGAGUUUAAGAAAGCUUAAAAACUGAUCAACAAAGAAUAAACAACAUUCCAGACCCAUAAGAUAACAUGAGUAAUACUCCUAGUAAAGACUCUUAACGUUUAAAACAAACUUGACCCCGACUGAGCAAAGACACAACAAUACAAGGACAGAAAGAUAAAGGACUCAAAGUAAAUAAAAGAUAAGAGUUGCUCCUUCACAUUGGUGCGCUGUGGGAUGACCCUGGAUGAGAUGGACCUAUCUGUGAAGUUAUCUUUCUCCCAUUCAAACUUUGUAGCAUAUCCUGCAAAGACACCCUGAUAUUUGGGAAGAAAUUUCUGGCACGUAUCCCCUCCUCAUGGAGAAUGCACCUUGAGAGAUUGUGCUGACACCUUUCUACAGUCUUGAGCAAAUCUGAUAACUGAACUCUCAGUGUCUCCACUUUGGCCCCCUCACUUUCAUCCUGACUGUCAUCGACAAUACAUUCUUCAUGUAUUCUUCCUCUUAAGUUGUAAGGGAAAUGGCCUACUAAUGAUCUCAUAUCUUUAAGUGUACCCUAGAUUAUACAGACCUACUUUGAGAGUAUCGACACCUAGCUUUAUUGCGUGAUUCCAGAAUUCUUCGUAUUUACUUUUGCCUAAGGCUUGAUCCUUAAAAUGAUCUACAUCCUUCAGAAGGUCCAUUACCGGUGGAACGUCCUGCAGUCUACCCAACUGGCGCAUUACCCUAAAAGAAGAGUACGGGCUGGUGCAAUUGAUUCCUAACAAGACUAAAAGAGGUUGCAUCCGAUAACCACACAAGAUUAUUUUUGGACGAAACCAUAGAUAGGUCCACAGAAUGUUGUCUUCAGUUCUUGAUUCAAGAAGUUCAGCCCAAGCAUCAAUCCCUAUCGGCAGCGAGAACUUAUCAAAACACAUUCUCUGAUUCAUAGCGUUCACUCGCUCAGGCAUACAAUGAUCAAUCACAUCCAACCUAAUCAAAGAAGGCUCUUGCAAGUGCUCCAUCAUCCACAAUUGCAAUAUCAGGUUGCUUUCCUCAAAGAAUCUUAUCCCGCCCUUCACCUCGGUUAAAGCUUUAUAUAUUUCUGCCAAGAUCAUAGGUAUGAGUGUGAAUGUUUUCCCUAGAUUUUUAUGAAAUAAGGCCAUCACUACAAUCUGCAAGCGAGUAUUAACCCGUCUUUCUUCUAAUGGGAAGGCCAAAAUGCCCAACAAGGUGAAAGCAAAGACUUCUAGACGACGUUUCUCCCAAUUCUUCUUGGUUGUAUAGAACUCAUCCCAAAAUCAAUCAAAACCAUCUGAAGGCUCAAAUCGAGCAUACAAAUAAUCAAAGGAGACCCAAGAUUUGUUAAGGCAUGUCAAGUGGUUAUUGUCCUUUAAACCAUAACCAUAAAUAAACCGUGUGGGAGAAUAAGUCCGUGCCCGAAUUAUUGUUUUCUUAAUGUAAGGCAACUUAAAGAAACCAGAUAUCUCUACCAUAUUAGGCGUCAUUUCACAAUUUCCAAACCUAAACACCAAAUAGCUUGGAUCCCAAAAUGUCAAUAUAGCCUCGAUCAGGUCUGGGCAGGGCGUAAGAUCUAGGAAAGAAGUGAGAGUGCCUAACUUCUUUGCCAACCCCUAUUGCUCGACGUAGUUAAAUGUGCCCCACCAUUUGAUUAACUUUUUGGCCACCUUGACAACCAUCCGGACUCUGGACUUUGUGGACAGAUCUAUCCUGUAAUGACACAUGAGAUAUUAUGAUUCCAAUUCAUGAAUAGUAUCACUGAAUAAAUCAGCCUACUUGGCUAAGACUUGCUAACAACACCAAAUUAUGAGGAAAAAGACCUAGGCUAAGGCUAAGACAAAGGCAAAAAGAUAAAGAUUAUCGGACCCACCGAGGGUUGCCUACGUAUCUUGCCCCCUAGGGACGGGAAUCAGGUAUGCGUAGUUCGUCCAGGUUGGACAAUUAAGGAUUAAAAUAAACUAAGACUUGACUGGAGAGACGCGAUUACAGACGGACGAUGAGAAAUAAAAUCUUUUUGGGUUUUUUAAUUAGACACUUCAUAUAACAUUGACAUGAACAACUAUGACAGAAAAAUCUUUUUUGUAUUUUUAAGAAAAUGAGUGUGAAAGGUAAAAAAUCUUUUUGAAUUUUUGGAUUGUGAAAAACAAAAGCCAUAAAGAACUCUAAAAACUACGAAACUCUUUUUUUUUACUCCUUUUUUUUUACUCACUCUUUUCAUUGCCUACAUAUUUUAUUUAUAACACAUGUUUUCCCCAAAUUUGUCCGUCAAAUGACCCCAUUACCCUCAAAGGUCCAACAUUUAGCACGUAGGGAUGCGUCAAAGAUGAGUCUCCUACAAAGGAUCAAAUAGGCCCCACUAGGUCUAAAUAUGAUGCACAUAAGUAUGACCUAAAGGCUGACCUACACUGGGGUUUACUAACAAGGCUGUUCAGGGGAACGUAUGGUCGAUAGUGACUGUUUUGGCUGUCCACCUACUCCAUACCAGCCAACGGCUCCCCCUCUAAGAUAAGGGUGACUCAACUAUAGGUCGUGUACACAGCGUGUACUACAGUACUUGUUGCAGAAAGAAUUGACUUGGGUUAUGCACAUGAUGCCAGAUAUAAAGCAGUAACACAUAGGAAAACUGUAAACAAAGAGUGCAUAAGCAUGCCACAAUGAUAAAACAAUACAAACAGUCACACAAACACGUUUAUACACCCAUAAUGUCAAACUAAGCCGAUAUAACUCCAAAAAGAAAUAAGUUCGAAUUUUGAAAAGUCCUCACAGAGUCGCCAAAACUGUCACACCCCUUUUUUCAACACGAAAAAGAUUGGAUUUUAUGGUUCGAAAGGGUUUUUAUUAUUAAAGUGACAAAAGGAUGAAAAUCUAUUUUAAAAAGGGACUAUUGACAUUUUUUAUUCAGAGUCGCCACUUGACAUAAUCCGGUGUGCCAAGUCACCUUUGGAAAAUCCUUUUCAAAACAUUUUGACUCUUGAAACUGGUUUGCGAACAGAGAUUCCAGUUAAGGAAUUCUGUUAAACCGAGGGGAAGGUGUUAGGAACCCCUCGAUCCCGUGGUUUGACCACGAUCGCUUGGUAGGGAGUAUCGGCUAACUUGACAUCAACGAGUGUAUAAACCACAUGAAACACAUAAGGUAAUCAAUCAAACAAACACACCCAAACAAAUCCCCAAAAUAAUAUUUAGGCCAAUUAUACAGACCAAAGUAAAAAGAAAUACGAAAAUAUAAAUCCUAUUCUAACCUACCCUAAUGCUAACUAUGCUCCCAUGCUACCCGAUGCCUCGGGCCUUCAUCACGGACGUCCUCCGAGUACAAAAUACUUCGGAACAUUCUCCGGAGAAAAUAAUACAAGUACUUCGGGGCAUUCCCCGGCUAAAUGAUACAAUUAAAUCAAGUACGACAAACUUAGAAAAUAUUCAAUAAACAUUCCAUAAUUCAAAUAUUCAACGAAAAACUAAAUCCAAAAUUUUGCCUACCCGAACUUACAUUGCCUAUCCGUUUCCACAUGUCAUAGCUCUUUCACGUUCACACAAUGUUUAUGCAUAUUCCGGAUUAACAAAAAUAAUAAUAAACCCACAUUAAUCUAAUUCAACCCCUAUUAUCAAGUUCUCAAUUCCACCCCCCGCUAGCGUCGUUUUUAUCAAUCAACAAUCAACACAUGAUCAAAUUCUUUCCUCAAACCACCAUAGCUAAAUCAACAAACAUCAUGAUCAACAUCAACAAUAAAGCCAACAAAUAUAAUAACAUCACACAUAAUCACAACCAAUUCGACACACCAAGAUAAAUAAAAAAGAGAGGGGUUAAGAAAUGGACCUUUCGAUAUCGAUUUUCGUUGAUAAUAUGAGUUAAGAAAACCCGAGUUUGGAAUCCUUGAUAGCACCUCAAUGAUGAAUAAGCUCCAAACUCGAUAUUAGAAUAAUAGCCAAACAGCUUUGAGACCAGUGAGUAUGAACUCCUAACGCAGGAUUUAAAUCACGAACGAGGACCCGAUUGACCAUGAAACCAAUCGAAAUCUGAUAUCGACGACAAAAAAAAUAAAAGACGAACCCAAAAUCCCAAUGACCCAAUAGAAAACUGAAACCUGAUGUAGACCGAGCUCCAGUAAGCUCCGAUGAUGGCCGAAACAGGGGGUCAAGAUGACACUGACGCGUUCUAAUGUUUCUAGGCCAUAUUCACUUCGGAGCCUGUAAGAAAACGUUGAGAUUUCUCUGAUUUUAAGACGGGUUAGAUAAUCGACACACUGGACGGAUCUCCGGCAAAGAAGUUCACCAGAAAAAUAAGCAACUCAGUGGAUUCUCGUUCUCAUCCCCUUCCCCGAUCUCCCUAUUACAACCUCGCUUCCUCUUAUCGAUUUUUCUUUCUAUCUGGGUAUAUAUCGUGAGUGUGCCUUCAUAAAAGAAAUGAAAAGAAAUAAAGAAAAAAAAAUUAUGGUAUUGGUCUUCUCUGUUUUCUCUACGAGGAUGAUGAUGAAGAAGCAAAAGGGCACAAUCCAACAUAUAGCCCCCUUCCUAAUCUCUAUGUGCGUGUAUAUAUAUUUCUGUGAGAGGGGUAUGGGGCACGCGAGUGGGGUGAGGGGGUAGGGGUAGGAUAUCUUAAAAUUUCCUGGGAGGUUCCUCGUGGGCGCCCCUGGUAUAUGUGAUGUUGUGUAUAUUAUAUUUAUAAAUAAAACAAAUGGAAAAUGGUCAGCAAAAUGAAAAAUUCUAAAUUGGAAGUAUAUCCUUGUGGGUCCCUCCAAGUUGUUAUCUUGGUGUGUAUGUAUAUUCUUUCUUUGUGGACAAGAAAAUGAGAGGGGGAGGGAGGUCACGUGGGUGUGGUGUCCUAAUUUUAUUGUAGGGGUUGUUAGGGUGUUGAAAAUAAGACAAAAAUUGUUAUGAUUUUUUAUUUGGAUAAUGAAAAGAUAAAUAAAUAGAUAAGUAAAAUAAUGAGGGGGUUAUUUAUUUUCAUGGGGAAAAAUUACUACGUGGAUAGGGUAUGUAGUAAAAUGGGGUAAACGAUAAAAUUUGUGAAGGGACGAAAUUACGUGUCUGCAAAUGUAAUGGAGUUACUUGCAAUUAGUCGAUCAAUUAUUGUUGUAAUUCCAUAUCUCUUACAUACGUAGAGAAUGAAAUGAAUGUACGUACAUAUGAUAUUUCAUAUUAAAACUAUGUUGUUGUUUGGUUCUUCAUGAGCAUCAUGUCACUUAUAAGGUAUACUAUCUACUAGAAUAAGUGACUAAGUUAUCUUAUUGAAUAAGUAUGUACAUACAUAUGUAUUGUGUGUGUAUGUAUGUUUUGUAGUGUAUGAAUGUUGAUGUUGAGUGUCUUAAAGAUUGUUGGGUUUGUUAUAAAUGUAAUGGAGUUACUUGCAAUUAAUCGAUCGAUCAUCGUUAUAAUUCCAUAUCUCUUACGUAUCUAAAGAAUGAAAUGAACGUACGUACGUGUGAUAUUUUGUAUUAAAACUAUACUUUUCUUUGUUUUUCAAGAGCACCAUGUGACUUGUAAGAGAUAUACAAUCUACUAGAAUAAGUGACUAAGUUAUCCCGUUGAAUAAGUAUGUACAUACAUAUAUAUUAUUUGUAUGUAUGUUUCUGUACUGUAUGAAUGUUGAUGCUAAGUGUGUUAAAGAUUGUUGGGAUUGCUGCAAAUGUAAUGGAGUUACUUGCAAUCAAUCGACUGAUCUCGUCAUAAUUUCGUAUCUCUUACUUAGAGAAUGAAAUAAACAAACGUGUGUGUGAUAUAUCAUAUUGAAACUAUAUUGUUGUUUGGUUUUACAUGAGCAUCGUGUCACUUGUAAGGUAUACUACCUACUAGAAUAAGUGACUAAGUUAUUUUGUUGAAUAAGUAUGUACGUACGUAUGUAUUUUGUGUGUGUAUAAUCUUUAUUGUAUAAAUGUUGAUGAUGGACGAUGUCUUGAAGUUGUUGGAUUUGUUCCAAUGUAAUGGAGUACUUGCAAUUUAUCGAUUGACUAACCAUUGUUGUAAUUUUCUAUCUCUUACGUACCUAGAGAAUGAAAUGAAAGUACGUACGUACGUUGUAGACACGUAAUUUUAUCCCGUAAAAAUAUUUCUUAUUUCGUUAUCACACACUUUAACCCCCAUUUUUAUAAUUUUCCACAAGAAAAAAAAACAAAUAAAAUAACCACUUCAUUUUAUUUAUUUAUUUAUUUAUUUAAAUAACAAAUCCUAAAAAAUUUUGGCUUCUUUUAAAACUUCCCAACAACCCCUCCAAUAAAAAGACAACACCUCACCUAACUACCCUUCCCAUCCCUAUACCCAUACACCUCACCUAUUUCUUUCUUUACACUUUUUAUUUCUUGGAAAAAAAUAAGAGUAGGACAAUUCUAUUAGGAUGGGGCCACGGAUUUGGAUCCAUUCUUCACAUAUGUACACCUAAUCAUCAUCUUCAUUGGGAGGAAAGGGAGAGAGAGAAAAGAACGGAGGGGGUCAUCAUCUUCAUUGGAGAGACGCCACUUUGAAGAGGGGAUCUCCAUUUUUAUUUUCCUUUUGCUCUUCACCUUCACACAGAGUAAAAUCCACCACUCCCUCACGGAAUGCACACACACACACACACACCUCUCACUGAUCUGAGAAAACACACAUCUACAUACGAAUUAACACAUACAUACAGAAAAGGUAUAGAGAGAGAGAGCUGCGAGAUACGGUGAGAAGAGUCUAGAUCGGUAGAGAGCAACGAAGAGAGAAAAUAGGCGAGGUAACGAAAUGAAUGGUACAGUCGCUGGCGCUGGUGUCUCACAUGACACACAAUUUCUAUAUUCAGAACACUGUUCCGGCGACGUUCAGUUGGAACUGAGUUUUUUGGCUAGCUCUUCGCCGGAAUCGAUUAGUUGUUAUCUGGGUUCAUUGAUUUUCAUACUGAUUUUUGGGAUUUAGCUUCUGUCCCAAUCGAAUCGUCCUUCUUUAUCUUUGGGUUUCAAAUUUCCCAAUACCGUGAUUGGUUCAUCGCUAUUGAGGUAUUCGUCUUGGGGUUUCAAGUCCGGGUGUUCUUAAACUUUAUUAUCAACGAAACUUUCUUCAAAGGUCCAUCUCUUAACUCUACUUUUUAAUUGUCUCGAAUGUGGCUAUGUCAUGAUUUUGUAUGUGGUUUUGAAUAUUGUCUGUAGCAUUAACCAUCGUUGUGGGUAUGAAUGAUUAUGUGCUUAAUAUGUUUGAAUUGUCGUUGGGCGGAUGUAUGGAUAUUGGUUUUGAGACUGUGAAGGGUGAUUUGAACUGAGGAAUUUGUUAAUCAUUCAUUGUUUAAAGGAAUCCAAUUGAGGGGUGGGAUUAAGAAAUUGAUAAAAAGUUGAACGUAGAUAAAUUUUGGGUUUGUUGUUGAUUUGCUCGGAAUACGCAUAAAUAUCGUUGAAACAUAUAGGCAAAUGUCGGUUUGGGUAGGCAAAACUUAGGAGUAAUGUUUUUAUUAAAUGUUUUGAAUGUUUAAUGUGCGUGUGAAUGUUUGUUUCUAGUUUAUCGUAUUUAAUUCAAAUGUAUUUAUUUAGAUGGGGAAUGCCUCGAGACACAUUAUAUUUAUUCACCGGGGAAUGAACCGACAUACUAUGUUGACAGAAUACGUUCAUGAGGAAGGUCCGAGGCGUAGGGUAAAGCAUGGGAGCGUAGUUGAGAUUAGUGUAGGUUAGAUAGGAUUUAUUUUCACAUUUUCUAUUUUUGGACUGGACACUAUAUUUUUGAUUCGUUUUGUUUUGUUUGUUUGUUUGAUUGUUACGUGUUUUGUAUGGUUUGUACAUUUGUAAUGUCAAAAUUAGCCGAUAUGCUCCACCAAGCGAUCGUGGUCGAACCACGGGAUCGAGGGGUGCCUAACACCUUCCCCUCGGUCAACAGAAUUCCUUAGCCAGAAUCUCUGUACUCAAACCAGUCUUAAAGAGUCAAAUUAUUUUGAAAAGGAUUUUUCAAAGGUAACUUUGCACACCGGAUUAUGUCAAGUGGCGACUCUGAGUUUUGAAUGUAAAAAUAAUCUUUUUUCGGAACAAAUCUUUAUUUUGUCACUUUAAUAAUAAAAACCCUUUCAAACCUUAAAACAAAUCUUUUCGGAUAUAUAAAAGGGGUGUGAAAGCUCUAGCAACUCUGCUGGGGAGGUUUUCAGAAUUCGAGCUUAUUUUGGAGUCGUAUCGACUUUGUUUGACAUUACGAGUGUAUAAGAGUUGUUUGUGAUUAUUGUUUGUGUUAUUGCUAUCACUUUUGUGCAUUUUCGUGCUCUUUGUGGACAGUAUUUAUCCUUUGUGUUACCGCUUUUAUAUCUAGCAUCAUGUGCAUAACCUGAGUCAUUCUUUCUGCAAUAAGUCUGUAGUACACAUGUUGUACACAACCUCUAGUUGAGUCACCCUUUUCUUAGGGGGAGAGCCGUCGGUGUUAUGGAGUAGGUGGAAAGCAAAACAGCCACUAUCGACCAUACGUUCUCCCAAAUAGCCUUGUUAGUGAACCCCAACAUAGGUCAGCCUUUAGGUCAUGCUUAUGUGCAUCAUAUUGAAGACCUAGCGGGGCCCACUAGGUCCUUCGUAAGAUACUCACCUCUAAAUCAUAUCUACGUGCUAAAUGUUGCAUCUCUGAGGGUAACGGGGUCAUUUGACGAACUGAUUUGAGGGAAAACAUGUGUUAGAGAUAAAAUGUGUAGACAAAAAAUGAAUGGUUAAAGAAGAGAAGAGAAGAAAGAAAAAGAAAAAUGGUGAAUCAAAAAGAGUGUCGUAGUUUAUUUUAGAGUUCUUUAUGGCUUUUGUUCUUCACAAUCCAAAAACUCAAAAGUUUUUUUUACCUUUUGCAUUUAUUUUCUCAAAGUACCGUAAAUUCAACAAAAAAAAAAAGAUUUUGUUUACCUUUUCUACUUAUUUGUCAAAAACAAAAGCACA
rnacentral:lncRNA from 1 species